rnacentral:tRNA from 1 species
AGCCCUGUAGUUCAGUGGUCAAGAAUACAAGGUUUUGGACCUUGUGACCCAGGUUCGAAUCCUGGCAGGGCUA